AGGUGAUCCAACCGCAGGUUCCCCUACGGUUACCUUGUUACGACUUCACCCCAGUCAUGAAUCACAAAGUGGUAAGCGCCCUCCCGAAGGUUAAGCUACCUACUUCUUUUGCAACCCACUCCCAUGGUGUGACGGGCGGUGUGUACAAGGCCCGGGAACGUAUUCACCGUGGCAUUCUGAUCCACGAUUACUAGCGAUUCCGACUUCAUGGAGUCGAGUUGCAGACUCCAAUCCGGACUACGACGCACUUUAUGAGGUCCGCUUGCUCUCGCGAGGUCGCUUCUCUUUGUAUGCGCCAUUGUAGCACGUGUGUAGCCCUGGUCGUAAGGGCCAUGAUGACUUGACGUCAUCCCCACCUUCCUCCAGUUUAUCACUGGCAGUCUCCUUUGAGUUCCCGGCCGGACCGCUGGCAACAAAGGAUAAGGGUUGCGCUCGUUGCGGGACUUAACCCAACAUUUCACAACACGAGCUGACGACAGCCAUGCAGCACCUGUCUCACGGUUCCCGAAGGCACAUUCUCAUCUCUGAAAACUUCCGUGGAUGUCAAGACCAGGUAAGGUUCUUCGCGUUGCAUCGAAUUAAACCACAUGCUCCACCGCUUGUGCGGGCCCCCGUCAAUUCAUUUGAGUUUUAACCUUGCGGCCGUACUCCCCAGGCGGUCGACUUAACGCGUUAGCUCCGGAAGCCACGCCUCAAGGGCACAACCUCCAAGUCGACAUCGUUUACGGCGUGGACUACCAGGGUAUCUAAUCCUGUUUGCUCCCCACGCUUUCGCACCUGAGCGUCAGUCUUCGUCCAGGGGGCCGCCUUCGCCACCGGUAUUCCUCCAGAUCUCUACGCAUUUCACCGCUACACCUGGAAUUCUACCCCCCUCUACGAGACUCAAGCUUGCCAGUAUCAGAUGCAGUUCCCAGGUUGAGCCCGGGGAUUUCACAUCUGACUUAACAAACCGCCUGCGUGCGCUUUACGCCCAGUAAUUCCGAUUAACGCUUGCACCCUCCGUAUUACCGCGGCUGCUGGCACGGAGUUAGCCGGUGCUUCUUCUGCGGGUAACGUCAAUGAGCAAAGGUAUUAACUUUACUCCCUUCCUCCCCGCUGAAAGUACUUUACAACCCGAAGGCCUUCUUCAUACACGCGGCAUGGCUGCAUCAGGCUUGCGCCCAUUGUGCAAUAUUCCCCACUGCUGCCUCCCGUAGGAGUCUGGACCGUGUCUCAGUUCCAGUGUGGCUGGUCAUCCUCUCAGACCAGCUAGGGAUCGUCGCCUUGGUGAGCCGUUACCCCACCAACAAGCUAAUCCCAUCUGGGCACAUCCGAUGGCAAGAGGCCCGAAGGUCCCCCUCUUUGGUCUUGCGACGUUAUGCGGUAUUAGCUACCGUUUCCAGUAGUUAUCCCCCUCCAUCAGGCAGUUUCCCAGACAUUACUCACCCGUCCGCCACUCGUCAGCGAAGCAGCAAGCUGCUUCCUGUUACCGUUCGACUUGCAUGUGUUAGGCCUGCCGCCAGCGUUCAAUCUGAGCCAUGAUCAAACUCU
rnacentral:rRNA from 5 species